rnacentral:lncRNA from 1 species
UGUAUCGUAGCAGCAUCCUGCUAUACUAAUUAGUGAUUCGCGUGUGUGUGGUGGGGAGUAUUUUCGGUAGUUAAACAUAUAGCUUAACAGAAUGGAAUACGUAUUUGUGUAAAACCCAAAUCAAACCUCAACGAUAGUCACGAGAUUCGAACCUUAACGAACUUCACAAAGUGUAGUCUUAUUCAGACAGUACUUUGGCAUCCGUUUAACGAACUCACAAAGUAUAUGUCACGGCCCCCGACCCGUACUUUGGAUUCCGUUUAACGAAAUUCACAAAGUAUAAUACUUUGGCAUCCGUUAGUUGGU